UCAUCAUGAACAAGAUGACAAAUUCAUCAAUUGCCCCUCCCUAUCUCUUUUCAAUAAUGCAAAGUCAGUGGCCGUCAUUUUUUGCUCCACUACCGUAUGUUCUUCCAGUAGUUGGAGGCUCUGAUGAAAGCAACAUAUCUCCUUGGAAUACAUGCGGAUGCUUUGACAUGAAUAAAAGGGGGAAGAAAGAAAAGAAAAGAGAUUGAGCUCCAAAGGGUCGAUGGAAUAAUUGUCUGAAUCAGCGAGGAACAUGAGGUCUCGUCCUCACAAAUCUUCUAGGCCAUGACAAGAAUUGCCUCGUCUUUGAUCGGAGCUGGAGAACCAGGUUUGUCUUGAUGUCCGAUGCUCGAUUGGCGAUUCCCCAUUUCUCUUUAUAUGUUUAACUUAAAUGGGUGACUGGCUUUAUGUAUAAUCAUGGUCAAUAUUUUCUAUAUGCAAAGUUGAAUCUGGGUCUUGAACCCAUAAAGCAUUGGAUUGAUUGAUUGAUUGAGGUCUUCACUAUUUUAAAGUCAAAGCCACACAGGCAAAAGCAUAGUGAAAAGGGUACGAUGAGGAAGACGGCAC
rnacentral:lncRNA from 1 species